UAUAUAUAUAUAUAUAUAUAUAUAUAUAUACAUACAUAUCUGUAAAUGUAAUAUGUGGCAAUUAUUCGGUAGCCAUGAUAAAACUCCGUGUUUCGGAUGCGAGUUGGAAAUCCAUGCCACCACCUCUUCAGUUAUCCAACCAUCGAAAAAUGCUAUGAAAAAUGGGAUAGCAGUUUUACACACACACACA